rnacentral:rRNA from 1 species
UCUGGUUGAUCCUGCCGGGACCUGACUGCUAUCGGAUUGGUACUAAGCCAUGCGAGUCAUUGUAGCAAUACAAGGCGGACGGCUCAGUAACACGUAGUCAACCUAACUCGUGGACGUGGAUAACCUCGGGAAACUGAGAAUAAACCACGAUAGAUCAUAGUGCCUGGAAUGGCUUAUGGUCCAAACAGUUUACUGCCAUGGGAUGGGACUGCGGCCUAUCAGCUUGUUGGUGAGGUAAUGGCCCACCAAGGCGAUUACAGGUACGGGCUCUGAGAGGAGAAGCCCGGAGAUGGGUACUGAGACACGGACCCAGGCCCUAUGGGGCGCAGCAGGCGAGAAACCUUAGCAAUGUGCGAAAGCACGACUGGGUCAGUCCGAGUGAUUCCUGAUAAAGGAGUCUUUUGCUUGUCCUAAAAGCACAGGUGAAUAAGGGGUGGGCAAGUCUGGUGUCAGCCGCCGCGGUAAUACCAGCACCUCGAGUGGUCAGGACGUUUAUUGGGCCUAAAGCAUCCGUAGCCGGCUUUGCAAGUCUUCGGUUAAAUCCACCUGCUCAACAGAUGGGCCGCUGGAGAUACUACAAAGCUAGGGGGUGGGAGAGGCAGACGGUAUUCAGUGGGUAGGGGUAAAAUCCUCUGAUCCAUUGAGGACCACCAGUGGCGAAGGCGGUCUGCCAGAACACGUUCGACGGUGAGGGAUGAAAGCUGGGGGAGCAAACCGGAUUAGAUACCCGGGUAGUCCCAGCUGUAAACGAUGCAAACUCGGUGAUGCAUUGGCUUAUGGCCAAUGCAGUGCCGCAGGGAAGCCGUUAAGUUUGCCGCCUGGGAAGUACGGACGCAAGUCUGAAACUUAAAGGAAUUGGCGGGGGAGCACCACAAGGGGUGAAGCCUGCGGUUCAAUUGGACUCAACGCCGGG